rnacentral:rRNA from 1 species
CAGUCGCCACGGUAAUACGUAGGUGGCGAGCGUUGUCCGGAUUUAUUGGGCGUAAAGGGAGUGUAGGCGGUCUUUUAAGUCUGAUGUGAAAGCCCACGGCUCAACCGUGGAGGGUCAUUGGAAACUGGGAGACUUGAGUGCAGAAGAGGAGAGCGGAAUUCCAUGUGUAGCGGUGAAAUGCGUAGAUAUAUGGAGGAACACCAGUGGCGAAGGCGGCUCUCUGGUCUGUAACUGACGCUGAGGCUCGAAAGCGUGGGGAGCAAACAGGAUUAGAUACCCCUGUAGUCCCUGUCUCUUAUAC